AUGAUUUUGCAGUUGUGGCACAACCUAUUCUGCUAAAUUUUACAUUGCCAGUUGAAUCAGAUGGAUAUAUCGAUAUGUCAGCGUUAAGUAUGGAUUGUUUUCACGGCAGUCAAAAAACUUAUGCUUUGUAUGCAAAUGGUCUGUGGAACAAUUUGUUAGAACCAGUGGGAGCUAAAUCGACGAACUACUC